rnacentral:rRNA from 1 species
UCGGUGUAGGAUGAGACUAUAUAGUAUCAGCUAGUUGGUAAGGUAAUGGCUUACCAAGGCUAUGACGCUUAACUGGUCUGAGAGGAUGAUCAGUCACACUGGAACUGAGACACGGUCCAGACUCCUACGGGAGGCAGCAGUAGGGAAUAUUGCGCAAUGGGGGAAACCCUGACGCAGCAACGCCGCGUGGAGGAUGACACUUUUCGGAGCGUAAACUCCUUUUCUUAGGGAAGAAUUCUGACGGUACCUAAGGAAUAAGCACCGGCUAACUCCGUGCCAGCAGCCGCGGUAAUACGGAGGGUGCAAGCGUUACUCGGAAUCACUGGGCGUAAAGGGCGCGUAGGCGGAUUAUCAAGUCUCUUGUGAAAUCUAAUGGCUUAACCAUUAAACUGCUUGGGAAACUGAUAGUCUAGAGUGAGGGAGAGGCAGAUGGAAUUGGUGGUGUAGGGGUAAAAUCCGUAGAUAUCACCAAGAAUACCCAUUG